UACGGAGGGUGCGAGCGUUGUCCGGAAUCACUGGGCGUAAAGGGCGCGUAGGCGGCCUGGUAAGUAGGGGGUGAAAUCCUGCGGCUUAACCGCAGGGCUGCCUUCUAAACUGUCAGGCUCGAGCACGGUAGAGGCAGAUGGAAUUCCCGGUGUAGCGGUGGAAUGCGUAGAGAUCGGGAAGAACAUCAGUGGCGAAGGCGGUCUGCUGGGCCGUUGCUGACGCUGAGACGCGAAAGCGUGGGGAGCGAACAGG
rnacentral:rRNA from 1 species